GGUUUGACAAAAUAAAUAUUGUCUCUGUUAUUAAAGUAAAAUUUAACUUUUAGGUGAAAAGGCCUAAAUUGACCAAAGUGACGAUAAGACCCUAAAAGCUUUAUAUUUUAUAUUUUAUUUUAAAAAAUUUAAUUAAUUAUAAGUUUAAGGUAUUUUAAUUAGCUGGGGCGGCGUAUAAAUAAUUUUUGUAACUUUAUAAAUCUUAAACACUAAAUACGUGGAGAGACGAUAAUAGAUCCUUUAUAAAGACUAAAGAAAAGUUACUUUAGGGAUAACAGCGUAAUUUUUUUUAAGAGUUCAUAUCGAAAAAAGAGAUUGCGACCUCGAUGUUGAAUUAAAAAUUCUAUUUAAUGCAGCAGUUAAAUAAGAAGGUCUGUUCGACCUUUAAUUUUUUA
rnacentral:rRNA from 1 species